rnacentral:rRNA from 1 species
UACGGAGGGUGCAAACGUUGCUCGGAAUCAUUGGGCGUAAAGCGCACGUAGGCGGACCGCUAAGUCGGAUGUGAAAGCCCUCGGCUUAACCGAGGAAGUGCAUUCGAAACUGACAGUCUUGAGUAUGGAAGAGGGUCGCGGAAUUCCCGGUGUAGAGGUGAAAUGCGUAGAUAUCCGGAGGAACACCGGUGGCGAAGGCGGCUUCCUGGACCGACACUGACGCUGAGGCGCGAAAGCUAGGGGAGCAAACGGG